rnacentral:tRNA from 1 species
UUUUGUUACUCAUUAGUUUCGACCUAAUAAAAGGCUUAAGCCAGCAAAAU